rnacentral:rRNA from 1 species
GAUGAACGCUGGCGGCGUGCCUAAUACAUGCAAGUCGAGCGGACGGACGAGAAGCUUGCUUCUCUGAUGUUAGCGGCGGACGGGUGAGUAACACGUGGAUAACCUACCUAUAAGACUGGGAUAACUUCGGGAAACCGGAGCUAAUACUGGAUAAUAUUUUGAACUGCAUGGUUCAAAAGUGAAAGACGGUCUUGCUGUCACCUAUAGAUGGAUCCGCGCUGCAUUAGCUUGUUGGUAGGGUAACGGCUUACCAAGGCAACGAUGCAUAGCCGACCUGAGAGGGUGAUCGGCCACACUGGAACUGAGACACGGUCCAGACUCCUACGGGAGGCAGCAGUAGGGAAGCUUGCGCAAUGGGGGAAAGCCUGACGGAGCAACGCCGCGUGAGUGAUGAAGGUCUUCGGGUCGUAAAACUCUGUUAUUGGGGAAGAACAUAUGUGUAAGUAACUGUGCACAGCUUGACGGUACCUAAUCAGAAAGCCACGGCUAACUACGUG